CUUCAUUUGUCCCGUCACAAGGACCCCGAAGACCCCCGAGAGGAGCUGUGGCCUGGCUGAGGUGUGUGCUUUCACAGAACACCGCUUCAAACAGGUUCUGACAGGCCGUGCCUUGUCCUUGCACACCUGCACCUGCCUCACAGACCGAGGGGUCUCAACACAAUGGCCAC